AACGAACGCUGGCGGCAUGCCUAACACAUGCAAGUCGAACGACACCUUAGGAAGAAGUGGCGCACGGGUGCGUCACGCGUGGGAACGUGGCGUUAGGCACGGGAUACCACCCCGACAGGGGUGCUAAUACCGGAAAAUGUCUUCGAACAACAGAUUUAUCGCCUUUGUAUAGGCGCGCGUUGGUUUAGCUAGUUGCUAGGGUAAAAGCCUACCAAGGCGUCGAUACAUAGCUGGGCUGAGAGGAUGAUCAGCCACACUGGGAAUGUGACACGGCCCAGACUCCUACGGGAGGCAGCAGUGGCGAAUAUUGGACAAUGGGCGAAAGCCUGAUCCAGCUAUGCCGCGUGAGUGAUGAAGUCCUUAGGGUUGUAAAGCUCUUUUACCCGGGAUGAUACUGACAGUACCGGGAGAAUAAGCUCCGGCUAACUCCGUG
rnacentral:rRNA from 1 species